rnacentral:tRNA from 1 species
GAAGGUAUAGCUCAGUGGUAGAGUACAUUCCUAGCAUGCAUGAGGUCCUGGGUUCAAUCCACAGUACCUCCA